GAUUGUUGGUGUAGCAGGGGUGUGUGUGUGUGUGUGCACGCUCAUGCACAUGUGCACUUGCUAGCCUGGCACGUAAUAAAUGUGUGCUCACAUACGAGACAGUGGGGAGGGGAACCAUAGAGGAACACAGAACUCAUGCAGAGGAGAACAAAAGACCCAUAAUGACCAAGCGGAGGAAGAAAAUAAGCAGAGCACAGGACUGUACAGUACAUUUGUACUGGUUCCUCUGAAUGACUGGAGCAUCCCCAUGCAGCACAGUAACCAAGGUGGAGACGACAUGCAAGGACAACAUGGAGGAAAGGGCACAGACAAACUGUUUGGCAGGCUAUUCAGACAUUAGGAGACAAUUGCUCUUGACUACCAUGCAAGUAUAAGAACGCAUCUUUAAAAAGAAGGAUGCUAAAGAAUAAAUAGCAGGAAGCUUUUUUUAGCCAAAGGAAGCCUAAAAUAUGUCAACAAGGCA